AUGUCGUCCCCCUAUACCGGCACGCAGCAGCCGUCCCCGGCGCCGCACCAGCUGCCGGCGGCGCAGCAGAACCAUUCGCUGGCGUUCCGGGUGAUGCGGCUGUCCCGCCCUUCGCUGCGGCCCGACCCGGCGGCGCUCCUCCGCUUCGACCCCCGCGACGUCUUCCUCCCCGAGGACGCGCUCACCUCCCCCGACCCCUCCGCCGCCGCCGACUUUCUUCAAGGCCUGCUCCACCCGCCCGACUCCGGCGCAGCCACCACCGUCCCCGGGGACUUCACCUUCCGCGAUCGCUUCCUCCUCCACGACACUGCCGACGCCCUCGCGCCCCCCGGCCUCCUCGUCCUCCCACAGGCCUUCGGGGCGAUCUAUUUGGGGGAGACAUUCUGCAGCUACAUCAGCAUCAACAACAGCUCUGGCUUGGAAGCCAGGGAAGUCAUAAUCAAGGCAGAAAUACAAACUGAGAGACAGAGGAUACUUCUCCUGGAUACAUCAAAAUCGCCUGUUGAAUCGAUUCGAUCAGGGGGUAGAUAUGAUUUUAUCGUGGAGCAUGAUGUCAAAGAACUUGGCGCACAUACGCUUGUCUGUACUGCUUUAUAUAAUGAUGGUGAUGCGGAGCGUAAAUAUCUUCCUCAGUUCUUCAAAUUCACUGUUUCAAACCCAUUAUCUGUUCGAACAAAGGUUCGCACCAUCAAGGAUACUACAUAUCUGGAAGCCUGCAUAGAGAAUCAUACAAAAUCUAACCUUUACAUGGAUCAAGUAGAUUUUGAACCUGCCCAACAGUGGAGCGCUACAAUACUGGAAGCUGAUGAAUACCCCUCAGUUGUGAAGUCUACAAUACGGGACCUCUGCAAACAACCAAUUCUGAUUAGAGCUGCAGGAGGAAUAUACAAUUACUUAUAUCAGCUCAGACCAUCGUCCGAUGAGCCUGGUCAAAUCAAGACAGAGGGUAGCAGCAUACUUGGUAAAUUUCAGAUUACAUGGCGGACAAAUCUUGGUGAACCAGGCCGCCUGCAAACUCAGAACAUUCAUAGCACUCCUACUCCAAGCAAAGAUGUUGACCUUCGUGCUGUGAAAAUUCCACCUGUUAUAUUUCUAGAAAGACCAUUUAUGGUCAAUCUAUGCCUUACAAAUCAAACAGAGAAAACUGUUGGCCCUUUUGAAGUAUUUCUAGCUCCAAGUGUAUCUGGUGAACAAAAAACUGUUCUGGUCAAUGGAUUACAGAAGCUGGUUUUGCCAUUAGUGGAGGCUUUUGAGUCCAUCAACUUUGACCUGAGCAUGGUAGCUACUCAACUUGGCGUGCAAAAGAUCUCUGGAAUUACAUUGUAUGCCGUGCAGGAAAGGAAGUACUACGAACCUUUGACAGAUAUAGAGAUUUUCAUCGACGCAGAAUAG
rnacentral:rRNA from 1 species